UGUAACAAGGUCUCCGUAGGUGAACCUGCGGAGGGAUCAUUA
rnacentral:rRNA from 2 species